rnacentral:RNase_P_RNA from 1 species
CCUUCUCUCCGCGCUGCCGCGGUACGCCUCGGCGUAUCGAGGAAAGUCCGGACAGCAUAGGGCAAUACACCGGCUAACGGCCGGGGAAUGGGAAACCAUUCACAGAUAGUGCCACAGAAAAUAACUACCCUCGCAAGAGGGAAAAGGUGAAAAUGUAGGGUAAGAGCCUACGGCAUGUUUCAGUAAUGGAACAGGCGGGUAAACCUUGUAUGCUGAAAUGCCAUGUAUACCGGUGGUCGAGAGCGGCCCGUUCAAGAAAGCAGCAAUGCUUUCACGCCGGAGGGUAGGCAGAUAGAUCGCUUCAGUAAUGAUGCGGCCAGAUAAAUGGCAGCGGCCCGAAGCCCGGGAAACCGGCUACGGGAACAGAAUCCGGCUUACAGGAGAGAAGAUUUU